UGGCCUAAAGUUUACAUGUAAUGUGAGCAAGAAAUAAGCCUUUGUGUUAUAUGACACUGAAAUGUUGGAGUUUGUUAUUCCACCAAAGGCACCAAGUACACAUGCCUAUGAGGACACUAAUAGAUGUGCACUUAUCUGUGGCUUUUUAAAAGGAUUAAAAGAAUAUGUCUUCAAUCUUCUUUAGAUGUGGUCAAUGUACUGGCAGGUCCCAGGAAGAUGCGAUGGUUGGACAUUCGUGGAAGAGACCCAGACUCACCAGGGGGAUAUCCUUCCAGUAUUCCCAGCUCCCUCCUGCUUUCUAUUCUUGAUAUAAAAGAAUAAUUUUGCUUUUUA